rnacentral:rRNA from 1 species
UACGGAGGGUGCGAGCGUUGUCCGGAAUCACUGGGCGUAAAGGGCGCGUAGGUGGCGCAACAAGUCAACGGUGAAAGCUCGGCGCUCAACGCCGAGUCGGCCGUCGAUACUGUUGGGCUGGAGCACUGUAGAGGCAGAUGGAAUUCCGGGUGUAGCGGUGGAAUGCGUAGAGAUGUGGAGGAACACCAGUGGCGAAGGCGACUCUUUGGCCUGUAACUGACGCUGAGGCGCGAAAGCGUGGGGAGCAAACAGG